AGGGCGCAUGGCGGAUGCCUUGGCACUAGAAGCUGAUGAAGGACGUGACGAACAACGAUAUGCUUCGGCGAGCUGUAAGUAAGCUUUGACCCGGAGAUUUCCGAAUGGGGAAACCCAGCAGUAGUAAUGUACUGUUAUCCUAUCAUGAAUACAUAGUGAUAGAGAAAGCAACCUGGCGAACUGAAACAUCUUAGUAACCAGAGGAAAAGAAAGAAAAAUCGAUUCCCUUAGUAGUGGCGAGCGAAAAGGGAUUAGCCCAAACCAAUCUUCGGAUUGGGGUUGUAGGACCUCUAUAUAAGAGUUAUAAAUUCUUUUUAUAGUUGAAUUCAAUGGAAAGUGAAACCAUAGUAGGUGAAAGUCCUGUAAGUGAAAUAAAAAGAACUCUUUGAGGUAUCCUGAGUACAACGGAUCACGUGGAACUCUGUUGGAAUCCGCGGGGACCAUCCCGCAAGGCUAAAUACUCUCUAGUGACCGAUAGUGAACAAGUACCGAGAGGGAAAGGUGAAAAGAACCCCGGGAGGGGAGUGAAAUAGAAUACUGAAACCAUGUGCUUACAAAAAGUCAAAGUCCGUUAAUGGAUGAUGGCGUGCCUUUUGCAGAAUGAACCGGCGAGUUAAUGUUGCAUGCGAGGUUAAGUUGAAGAGACGGAGCCGUAGCGAAAGCGAGUCUUAAUAGGGCGAAUUAGUAUGUAGUAUUAGACCCGAAACCGAGUGAUCUAGCCAUGAGCAGGUUGAAGUUUAGGUAAAACUAAAUGGAGGACCGAACCGACGUACCCGGAAACGUGCGCGGAUGACUUGUGGCUAGCGGUGAAAUUCCAAACGAACUCGGAUAUAGCUGGUUCUCCCCGAAAUAGGUUUAGGCCUAGCCUUGAGAUUUAGCACUGUGGAGGUAGAGCACUGAAUAUAUGAUGGCCCCGUCUAGGGGUACUGAAUGUAAUCAAACUCCGAAUGCCAUGGUUGUAUGCUCAGGAGUCAGCGUAUGGGUGAUAACGUCCAUGCGCGAAAGGAAAAGAGUCCGGAUCGCCAGUUAAGGUCCCAAAAUUUGUACUAAGUGGGAAAGGAUGUGGAGUUGUCAAAACAGCUAGGAGGUUGGCUCAGAAGCAGCCAUCCUUUAAAGAGUGCGUAAUAGCUCACUAGUCGAGUGACACUGCGCCGAAGAUGUACCGGGGCUAAGUACAAUACCGAAACUGCGGAUUCACAUUUAUAUGUGAGUGGUAGGGGAGCGUUCCAAGUUGAGUUGAAGGUAGACCGUGAGGACUGCUGGAUUACUUGGAAGUGAGAAUGCCGGUGUGAGUAGCGCAAGAUGGGUGAGAAUCCCAUCCACCGUUUGACUAAGGGUUCCUGGGGCAGGUUCGUCCGCCCAGGGUUAGUCGGGUCCUAAGACGAGGCCGAGAGGCGUAGCCGAUGGACAACAGGUUGAUAUUCCUGUACUACCUAUAAGACUGAUGGAGUGACGGAGAAGGUUAGGAAAAGCCAGUUAUUGGAUUCUGGUCUAAGCACAAAGGCUUAUAAAUUAGGAAAUCUGUUUAUAAUUAAGCUGAAGUGUGAUGGUGAAGUCGCUUGCGACGAAAUUUUCUGACACCAUGCUUCCAAGAAAAGCUUCUAGGGUUAAUCUUAUAGGUACCCGUACUCAGAACCGACACAGGUGGUCAAGGAGAGUAUCCUAAGGUGAGCGAGAGAACUAUGGUUAAGGAACUCGGCAAAAUAACCCCGUAACUUCGGGAGAAGGGGUGGUCACUAGAUGACCGACACUAAAGACGCCCAGGCAACUGUUUACCAAAAACACAGGUCUCUGCUAAGUCGUAAGACGAUGUAUAGGGGCUGACACCUGCCCAGUGCUGGAAGGUUAAGAGGAGUGCUUAGAUAGACGCAAGUCGAUUAUUCGAAGGUACGAAUUGAAGCCCCAGUGAACGGCGGCCGUAACUAUAACGGUCCUAAGGUAGCGAAAUUCCUUGUCAGGUAAGUUCUGACCCGCACGAAAGGUGUAAUGAUCUGGGCACUGUCUCAACCAUAGACUCGGUGAAAUCUUAAUACCUGUGAAAAUGCAGGUUACCCGCAACAGGACGGAAAGACCCCAUGGAGCUUUACUGUAGCUUGAUAUUGAAGUUCGGUAUAUUAUGUAGAGAAUAGGUGGGAGACUAUGAAGUUAGGACGCUAGUUCUAAUGGAGUCACCUUUGGAAUACCACCCUUGUGUCAUUGAAUUUCUAACCUCGAUUCAUUAUCUGGAUCAGGGACAGUGUCUGGUGGGCAGUUUGACUGGGGCGGUCG
rnacentral:rRNA from 1 species